GAUGAACGCUGGCGGCGUGCCUAAUACAUGCAAGUCGAGCGAACAGACGAGGAGCUUGCUCCUCUGACGUUAGCGGCGGACGGGUGAGUAACACGUGGAUAACCUACCUAUAAGACUGGGAUAACUUCGGGAAACCGGAGCUAAUACCGGAUAAUAUAUUGAACCGCAUGGUUCAAUAGUGAAAGACGGUUUUGCUGUCACUUAUAGAUGGAUCCGCGCCGCAUUAGCUAGUUGGUAAGGUAACGGCUUACCAAGGCGACGAUGCGUAGCCGACCUGAGGGGGUGAUCGGCCACACUGGAACUGAGACACGGUCCAGACUCCUACGGGAGGCAGCAGUAGGGAAUCUUCCGCAAUGGGCGAAAGCCUGACGGAGCAACGCCGCGUGAGUGAUGAGGGUCUUCGGAUCGUAAAACUCUGUUAUUAGGGAAGAACAAAUGUGUAAGUAACUAUGCACGUCUUGACGGUACCUAAUCAGAAAGCCACGGCUAACUACGUG
rnacentral:rRNA from 1 species